UUAUCUUGAUUAUAGCUAUACUAAAAUGAAAUGGUUUAGAGAAAACUAGCAUAGUCCCUGCAGAAGGAAGGCAAACACAUUUAUGGAGCGCUCCACAUUUUU
ensembl:snRNA U6 U6 spliceosomal RNA